AAGAUGGAAGAAGAAGAUGUUGUUGAAAAUGUGAUAUCACAUGUAAAUUAUCAAAAGAUAAGUUGUUCUGCACUGAAUCAUUUUAUUUGAAGAUAACUUAAAAAUUAGAAUAAAUAUGUUGACUUCAGAAUUAGCAACAAUGUUUCAAUAUUCUUUUGUUAAAUAUAUACGAAUAAAUUAUGUAUUUCUUGUAAGAACAAUGGGCAAAUGAUCCUCAUUGCAGACACUUCAGAAACUAGUUUAUAUUGAUAGAUUAUUAUAAUUAUGAACAAAAGUUGAUAUGA